GACGAACGCUGGCGGCGUGCUUAACACAUGCAAGUCGAACGUGAUUUUUGUGGAAAUUCUUUCGGGAAUGGAAAUGAAAUGAAAGUGGCGAACGGGUGAGUAACACGUGAGCAACCUACCUUACACAGGGGGAUAGCCGUUGGAAACGACGAUUAAUACCGCAUGAGACCACAGAAUCGCAUGAUAUAGGGGUCAAAGAUUUAUCGGUGUAAGAAGGGCUCGCGUCUGAUUAGCUAGUUGGAAGGGUAAAGGCCUACCAAGGCGACGAUCAGUAGCCGGUCUGAGAGGAUGAACGGCCACAUUGGUACUGAGACACGGUCCAAACUCCUACGGGAGGCAGCAGUGGGGAAUAUUGCACAAUGGGGGGAACCCUGAUGCAGCGACGCCGCGUGAGCGAAGAAGGUUUUCGAAUCGUAAAGCUCUGUCCUAUGAGAAGAUAAUGACGGUAUCAUAGGAGGAAGCCCCGGCUAAAUACGUG
rnacentral:rRNA from 1 species